CAGAUUCAGCAAUGCACAAAAUUAGAUACAGAUGAUGAAACAUAUCUCAUGGAGACUGACCAGUUGGAUGUGUUAACAGAAAAAGAAAAUAUUUGCGAUAAUCUUAUUGAAAUUUCAGCAUCCGAAUAUACAGUUACAUCAGAAGAGUCAGGAAGUCAAAAUUAUUUAUCCCAGUCACAACAAUCAGUCAGAAGUUAUGAACGUUGCAG